rnacentral:rRNA from 1 species
UACGAAGGGGGCUAGCGUUGCUCGGAAUCACUGGGCGUAAAGCGCACGUAGGCGGGUCGUUAAGUCAGGGGUGAAAUCCUGGAGCUCAACUCCAGAACUGCCCUUGAUACUGGCGAUCUCGAGUUCGGGAGAGGUGAGUGGAACUGCGAGUGUAGAGGUGAAAUUCGUAGAUAUUCGCAAGAACACCAGUGGCGAAGGCGGCUCACUGGCCCGAUACUGACGCUGAGGAGCGAAAGCGUGGGGAGCGAACAGG